rnacentral:lncRNA from 1 species
CGAAACUGCAUCACAACUGAAACACCUUCAGGUGGGGAGAAGAAGGGAAGAGGAAGAAAGGAUUCUACUGCAGAUGUGUAAGGUUUUAUGAACACCUGGGAUACUUAAUUAGCCAGCAGACACGAUUCUUCACAGUGCUGGAUCAUAGAGAAAUGGCCAUUUUGCACAGGGCCCUGCAAAGUGUGUGGCUGGCCCUGAUUCCAGGGACCAAAGAACGACCGUUCACCUUCCAUAUUUCACAGAUGCGUCCACGUAGACAUUCACACAUACGUGCAAAAGUGUGCAUGUGUGUCUAUGUAUUUGUGACAGACAAGAAAGAGAGAGAGAGAGAGCCUGCAUGACAUUCUUAACACCUGCUCUGCCACCCACUUUCCAGCUUCCUUUGGAAGUCAAGAACUGGGUUCUGAGACCUUCGGUCAGGUGAGCACUGUCCAGGGCUUAGCCAUGUGCAUGUGUGUAUAUGUAUGCAUGUAUGUAUACAUGUGUGUGUAU